AUUGAACGCUGGCGGCAUGCUUUACACAUGCAAGUCGAACGGUAACAGGCCGCAAGGUGCUGACGAGUGGCGAACGGGUGAGUAAUGCAUCGGAACGUGCCCAGUCGUGGGGGAUAACGCAGCGAAAGCUGCGCUAAUACCGCAUACGAUCUAUGGAUGAAAGCGGGGGACCGUAAGGCCUCGCGCGAUUGGAGCGGCCGAUGUCAGAUUAGGUAGUUGGUGGGGUAAAGGCCCACCAAGCCAACGAUCUGUAGCUGGUCUGAGAGGACGACCAGCCACACUGGGACUGAGACACGGCCCAGACUCCUACGGGAGGCAGCAGUGGGGAAUUUUGGACAAUGGGCGCAAGCCUGAUCCAGCAAUGCCGCGUGCAGGAAGAAGGCCUUCGGGUUGUAAACUGCUUUUGUACGGAACGAAACGGUUCUCUCUAAUACAGGGGGCUAAUGACGGUACCGUAAGAAUAAGCACCGGCUAACUACGUGCCAGCCGCCGCCGUAAGAC
rnacentral:rRNA from 1 species